GAUGAACGCUGGCGGCGUGCCUAAUACAUGCAAGUCGAGCGAACGGACGAGAAGCUUGCUUUUCUGAUGUUAGCGGCGGACGGGUGAGUAACACGUGGAUAACCUACCUAUAAGACUGGGAUAACUUCGGGAAACCGGAGCUAAUACCGGGUAAUAUUUUGAACCGCAUGGUUCAAAAGUGAAAGACGGUCUUGCUGUCACUUAUAGAUGGAUCCGCGCUGCAUUAGCUAGUUGGUAAGGCAACGGCUUACCAAGGCAACGAUGCAUAGCCGACCUGAGAGGGUGAUCGGCCACACUGGAACUGAGACACGGUCCAGACUCCUACGGGAGGCAGCAGUAGGGAAUCUUCCGCAAUGGGCGAAAGCCUGACGGAGCAACGCCGCGUGAGUGAUGAAGGUCUUCGGAUCGUAAAACUCUGUUAUUAGGGAAGAACAUAUGUGUAAGUAACUGUGCACAUCUUGACGGUACCUAAUCAGAAAGCCACGGCUAACUACGUG
rnacentral:rRNA from 1 species